CCUACGGGAGGCAGCAGUAGGGAAUUUUCGUCAAUGGGCGCAAGCCUGAACGAGCGAUGCCGCGUGAGUGAAGAAGGCCUUCGGGUCGUAAAGCUCUGUUGCGGGGGAAAAAAGGCAGCAUCAGGAAAUGGGUGCUGACUGAUGGUGCCCCGCCAGAAAGUCACGGCUAACUACGUGCCAGCAGCCGCGGUAAUACGUAGGUGGCGAGCGUUAUCCGGAAGGAUUGGGCGUAAAGGGUGCGCAGGCGGUCCUGCAAGUCUGGAGUGAAACGCAGGAGAUCAAAGCAUGCAUGGAUUUGGAGACUGGAGGACUGGAGAGCAGGAGAGGGCGGUGGAACUCCAGGGGUAGCGGUAAAAUGCGUAGAUAUAUGGAAGAACACCAGUGGCGAAGGCGGCCGCCUGGCCUGUUGCUGACGCUGAGGCACGAAAGCGUGGGGAGCAAAUAGGAUUAGAUACCCCGGUAGUC
rnacentral:rRNA from 1 species